rnacentral:rRNA from 1 species
CCUACGGGAGGCAGCAGUGGGGAAUUUUGGACAAUGGGGGCAACCCUGAUCCAGCAAUGCCGCGUGAGUGAAGAAGGCCUUCGGGUUGUAAAGCUCUUUUGUCAGGGAAGAAACAGCAGCUCUAACACAGACUGCGAAUGACGGUACCUGAAGAAUAAGCACCGGCUAACUACGUGCCAGCAGCCGCGGUAAUACGUAGGGUGCGAGCGUUAAUCGGAAUUACUGGGCGUAAAGCGUGCGCAGGCGGUUAUACAAGACAGGCGUGAAAUCCCCGGGCUUAACCUGGGAAUGGCGUCUGUGACUGUAUAGCUAGAGUGUGUCAGAGGGGGGUGGAAUUCCACGUGUAGCAGUGAAAUGCGUAGAUAUGUGGAGGAACACCAAUGGCGAAGGCAGCCCCCUGGGAUAACACUGACGCUCAUGCACGAAAGCGUGGGGAGCAAACAGGAUUAGAUACCCUGGUAGUCCACGCCCUAAACGAUGCUGACUAGUUGUUGGGAAUUUACAUUCUCAGUAACGUAGCUAACGCGUGAAGUCAGCCGCCUGGGGAGUACGGUCGCAAGAUUAAAACUCAAAUGAAUUGACGG